rnacentral:misc_RNA from 1 species
GUUGCUACGUUUUUGGUGAGCAGCGUAAAUUGAAUUGAAUUCGGUAUAAAAACUUUCCCUAUUUACACGUAUACUCGUUUCUAUAUAUAACACUUACGAAGUUUCUCUCAAUCUCCAGCAACUCCAAAAACCAUUUCCUUUUACCGAACGUACUUUCCAAAAUAUUCGCAGCGAUAGAUUAAUAUCGAACACCCGAGCGAACUGGACCAUCAGAUCGUCAAUAAGUUGGCCCGUCUAUGCUCGAUACUUUUUAAUAACUUACCAACAACGGUGACGAGUAUCAGGAGACCAAGGACCAGAGCCCUGAGGAUGAUCGAGGCAUCAAUGAACGACAACCCGUCGGUGGACGAGUUCGUAGACUGGUUUACGUGUUCCUCCAUGACGUACGAGAUAUAAUCCUCUCAGUUACAGUAGACUCUUCAAUGUAUGUCGGCUAUCAUCUCCUUAAAUAGCAUAUCAUUGCCCACCGGUACGAGGAGAUCCGCGAGAUAUGAAUCUUCUAUUCGAGGCGAUCUUGGCUAGUCGAUUUCUUCAAGUUCGUCAAGUUAGUGUUUGUUUGUUGAAAUUGUAAUACGAACGUCAUCGGCUGAUAUGCUCAUUCGCCGCGCAGAAUUUUCGCCGUUAUUCAUUUUUCGCGGACAACGGUCACAGUUUUGCCCAACGACUUAGAGUCUUUGCCUUCGAGUCGAAGGUGAGCUCUGCAAC